AAGAGUGAACCAGUGAGUUCAGGAGAGGCCAGCCCAUGGAGCCCAUCUUGCCGGCAGAGAAAGAGCAAUUGCAGCAUUUCCAUGGAAACACAGCAAGGAAAGAGAAUUCUGUUUGGACAAUCUCUGCAGAGCAGAUGACACUUGCUACAAAUGCCUUCUCCCUGGACAAAGAAAAUGAGGACUUGGCUAAGAUCUACCCUCCCCAUCAAGGCCCUGCUCUGAGGGUUGAAAAUGUACAGAGGAAAAAGAAGAGAAAGGAGAAGAAAGAAGAGCAGAGGAGGGGAGGAGAUGCCAGAGGAAAACAGGAGGAGAGAGUGUGGAACAGCAGAGGCAAGCACGAGCAGUCUUCAGGAAGACAGAUACUCAUCAGAAAGUGGCUGUGGGUCCCACAGAGAGGAAGCAGAGCCAUCUUCAGGGAGCUCGCCAGCCCUUCAUCUGCCUGGGGAAUCUCAGUUUAGAAAACAUUAUCUUUUCAUGUUUUUCUCUGAUAGGCACUGCAAUGAUUUGCAUUCAUUCCCACCAAGUGUCAGAAAAUCCUGUGAAGUAGUAACAACCAGGCUUCUUAAUGCAAUUCAAAUA